rnacentral:rRNA from 1 species
UGCAGUCGAGCGGGGGAGAUUGCUUCGGUAACUGACCUAGCGGCGGACGGGUGAGUAAUACUUAGGAAUCUGCCUAUUAAUGGGGGACAACAUCUCGAAAGGGAUGCUAAUACCGCAUACGCCCUACGGGGGAAAGCAGGGGAUCACUUGUGACCUUGCGUUAAUAGAUGAGCCUAAGUCGGAUUAGCUAGUUGGUGGGGUAAAGGCCUACCAAGGCGACGAUCUGUAGCGGGUCUGAGAGGAUGAUCCGCCACACUGGGACUGAGACACGGCCCAGACUCCUACGGGAGGCAGCAGUGGGGAAUAUUGGACAAUGGGGGGAACCCUGAUCCAGCCAUGCCGCGUGUGUGAAGAAGGCCUUAUGGUUGUAAAGCACUUUAAGCGAGGAGGAGGCUCCUGUAGUUAAUACCUACAGUGAGUGGACGUUACUCGCAGAAUAAGCACCGGCUAACUCUGUGCCAGCAGCCGCGGUAAUACAGAGGGUGCGAGCGUUAAUCGGAUUUACUGGGCGUAAAGCGUGCGUAGGCGGCUUUUUAAGUCGGAUGUGAAAUCCCCGAGCUUAACUUGGGAAUUGCAUUCGAUACUGGGAAGCUAGAGUAUGGGAGAGGAUGGUAGAAUUCCAGGUGUAGCGGUGAAAUGCGUAGAGAUCUGGAGGAAUACCGAUGGCGAAGGCAGCCAUCUGGCCUAAUACUGACGCUGAGGUACGAAAGCAUGGGGAGCAAACAGGAUUAGAUACCCUGGUAGUCCAUGCCGUAAACGAUGUCUACUAGCCGUUGGGGCCUUUGAGGCUUUAGUGGCGCAGCUAACGCGAUAAGUAGACCGCCUGGGGGAGUACGGUCGCAAGACUAAAACUCAAAUGAAUUGACGGGGGCCCGCACAAGCGGUGGAGCAUGUGGGUUUAAUUCGAUGCAACGGGGAAGAACCUUACCUGGGUCUUGGACCUUAGUAAAGAACUUUUCCAGAA